AUUCUUGAAUUGUUUGUUUAAUUUAAUAGACUGUUAAGCUGAACGAGCAAGAUGAAGUUGGUUACUUUUCUAUUGCUGAUAACUGUUUUGGUCAUAGUGUUAGAUUCAGUCGUCGAAGGAAAGGAAGGGCAUGGUUGCCCUAGUAACGAGAAGGAAUGCAUCAAACAUUGCAAUCAUAUAAACAGACGUGGUAAAUGUGAUAAAGAAAAAUGCAUGUGCUUGGAGAAAAAACGUCCACAUAGACGCGUAGUGUCGCAUAUGCAUGCAGGAUAGUUGAAGUUAAAGGAGAAGACUGAUGCCUUCUUUUUCCUGAAAGAAAAAUUUCGAAGCACUGUAAAUCGACAAGAUUAAGACGCCAAACUUGGGUUAUGCACAAAAACAAAAAAUAAUAUUUCCUUUAUAUCGAAAUCCAACUAUCCUUCUAGGCAUAGAAGAAGGAUAGUUGAAGUUAAAGGAGAAGACUAAUGCCUUCUUUUUCCAGAAAGAAAAAUUUCGAAGCACUGUAAAUCGACAAGAUUAAGACGCCAAACUUGGGUUAUGCACAAAAACAAAAAAUAAUAUUUCCUUUAUAUCGAAAUAAAUUACUUAGCAGCAAUAAACUUUACCUGCUGUAAUAAA